GGAGUCUGGUCCGUGUCUCAGUACCAGUGUGGGGGACCUUCCUCUCAGAACCCCUACGCAUCGAUGCCUUGGUGGGCCGUUGCCCCGCCAACUAGCUAAUGCGCCGCAUGCCCAUCCCCCACCGACGGAUCUUUCCCCCCGCGGCCAUGCGGGCGCGGGGACUACGGGGCAUUAGGCCAAAUUUCUCUGGUUUAUUCCCCUGUGGGGGGCAGGUUGCAUACGUGUUACUCACCAGUGCGCCGGUCGCCAUCGGGUGGUGUUGCCACCUCCCAUGCUGCCCCUCGACUUGCAUGUGUUAAGCCUGUCGCUAGCGUUCAUC
rnacentral:rRNA from 1 species